rnacentral:rRNA from 1 species
CGACCGGCGCACGGGUGAGUAACGCGUAUGCAACUUACCUAUCAGAGGGGGAUAGCCCGGCGAAAGUCGGAUUAAUACCCCAUAAAACAGGGUCCCGCAUGGGAAUAUUUGUUAAAGAUUCAUCGCUGAUAGAUAGGCAUGCGUUCCAUUAGGCAGUUGGCGGGGUAACGGCCCACCAAACCGACGAUGGAUAGGGGUUCUGAGAGGAAGGUCCCCCACAUUGGUACUGAGACACGGACCAA